rnacentral:rRNA from 1 species
AACGAACGCUGGCGGCAGGCCUAACACAUGCAAGUCGAACGCCCUGGCAACAGGGAGUGGCAGACGGGUGAGUAACGCGUGGGAACGUGCCCUUCGGUUCGGAAUAACUCAGGGAAACUUGAGCUAAUACCGAAUACGUGCGAGAGCAGAAAGAUUUAUCGCCGAAGGAUCGGCCCGCGUCCGAUUAGCUAGUUGGUGAGGUAAUGGCUCACUAAGGCGACGAUCGGUAGCUGGUCUGAGAGGAUGAUCAGCCACACUGGGACUGAGACACGGCCCAGACUCCUACGGGAGGCAGCAGUGGGGAAUAUUGGACAAUGGGCGCAAGCCUGAUCCAGCCAUGCUGCGUGAGUGAUGAAGGCCCUAGGGUUGUAAAGCUCUUUCGCCAGGGACGAUAAUGACGGUACCUGGAUAAGAAGCCCCGGCUAACUUCGUGCCAGCCGCCGCCGUAA